ACUCUCAUCUCUUGUAGUCAGCAACAGGUUUCCACAGGGAAGGCCCUACAUCAUCUGCUACCCUGAAAGAUCUGGAGAGCCCGUGCCAAGAACGAGCAGUAGUCCUGGAUUCAACGUCCGUAAAAAUCAGUCGACUGAAGAACACCAUCAAAUCUUUGAAACAACAGAAGAAACAAGUGGAACAUCAGCUGGAAGAAGAAAAGAAAGCAAACAACGAGAGACAGAAAGCCGAAAGGGAGCUAGAGGUGAGUGGAGGGUGUGCAGUUUCCUCCUGUCCUCCGGAGAAUGUUUCUUUCCUUCUCUUUCAGCACUUGCUUGGCUUUUCUCCCAAAGGUUCAAAUCCAGACAUUGAUCAUACAGAAAGAGGAACUAAAUACGGACCUGUGCCACAUGGAACGUUCUCUCAGAUACUUUGAAGAAGAGUCCAAGGACCUGGCUGUCCACCUGCAAUAUUCAUUGCAGUGUAAAGGAGAGUUAGAGAGGGCUCUCUCUGCUGUCAUCGCCACAGAGAAGAAGAAGGCAAACCAGGUGAGUCCAGCCACCUGCCUCAUCCCCUGGGAGCCUGGUUUUGCAGAUGGAGGAGUGAGCCUAAAGGUCCCUUCUGCAGGAUGGCGUGUCCUGCCCAGAAGGCAGCAUGGCCAUUUCUUGCUACUUUUUUGUAUGGUUUUUAGUGGCAGCCUGGGGCCGAGUCAGCUGCUGUGGGUGAGUUGGGGGGCACUGUGCGGAGUGAGCACUGGACGCAGAGCUUGGAGGCCAAGUGCUUGCCCCGCCCUUACCUGGCUGUGGUCUUGGGCAAGUCCUAGGUGGGGUAUUGGGUACUUGUACUGUGAAGGUACAGAAGAGUACCUUUAGUAUGUUACCAUUUCUGUAGAAAGAGGAAACGCGUGCAUGUGUGUGGGUGUGUGUGUGUGUACAUACUAUGAUAAUAUACAUAAAACAUGUCUGCAAGGGUUCAUAAAAAAUUCAGGAGAGAGCAACAAGAUGGCUGGGAGAUACUUCCCUUCUGUACCUUCUGAGUUUUGGACUAUGUGAAUGUAUCAUCCUUUCAAAAAGUGAACAAAAGAUUAGUUUUCCCCUUCCUAUCUGUGCCCCCAUCCCCAGCAAGAAAAACGGGCUUAGAGAAUUGGAUAGACCUGGGUGUUUAUAUCCCAGCUCUGCCUAAGUGAACUUAGGCAAGCACUUAACCUCAAAUACUCCAUGUUUUUUCAUCUCCACAAUAGAGGGAAUCAUAGUAACUGUCUCCUAUGGUGGUUGCAAGGAUUAAAUGGGAUUGUUAGCACGGUACCUGGUGAAGCAUUCCACAAAGGUUCAAACAGUGGUAAUAAUAACAAUAAUAACAAUAGCAAUAUU
rnacentral:lncRNA from 1 species